CUUUUCCCCAAAAAAAAGUUAGGAUUCUAAAAUUUGGGGAAAAGGCUGGUCGAUUUCGAGGUAUAGGGUUCGAUUCAGAUUCAAUCGAUGAAGAUUUGAUAGGCAAAGUCACGAUUUGAAUGGGAAUCAUCAAUUUCAUGUAGGAAUUCAUCCAUUUUCAAGGGAGGUGUUGGAUGCAAAGGUUUUGUAUGGUGUGAUGAUGUUGACAACACAAAAGGGAGGGAAGAUAUCAUCUUUAGAGACUUGCAAUGGAUGGAAAACAAUGGUAGCAAGGAUGUGGUGUUUCAAUUUAUGCAGUUACAAGUUGGAGAUGUUUUGAAUAUGCUGAAAGGAAUAAAAGAGAUGUUGUUGAUCAUUUGUAUCUUGAUUGCUGUCAAUGUGGUUUUCAAUUUAGUUUAAAAAAAUGAGGUGCUUAGAUGGUGCUUCAAUUUGGGUAAA